AGCAGUCGCCACGGUAAUACGUAGAUGGCAAGCGUUGUCCGGAAUUAUUGGGCGUAAAGGGCUCGCAGGCGGUUUCUUAAGUCUGAUGUGAAAGCCCCCGGCUCAACCGGGGAGAGUCAUUGGAAACUGGGAAACUUGAGUGCAGAAGAGGAGAGUGGAAUUCCACGUGUAGCGGUGAAAUGCGUAGAGAUGUGGAGGAACACCAGUGGCGAAGGCGACUCUCUGGUCUGUAACUGACGCUGAGGAGCGAAAGCGUGGGGAGCGAACAGGAUUAGAUACCCGAGUAGUCCCUGUCUCUUAUAC
rnacentral:rRNA from 1 species